CCCAAAACCAUCAAAAAUUUUUACUACUCUUCCACUCUCUCUCUUAAAAAUUUCGGCCAAACCAAACCACCCUCACACCAACUUCAUUUCAAACUUCAAAUUCAAGAGUUCUUGCACAUAUGAAGAUCCAUGGAUGAAAGAAGCUUCAAGGGUGUUUAGAAAAGCUAUUAGGAGCCUUCUUGGUGGAACUUGAAGUUUAAAAUCAUCAAGAUUUUUCUUAUCUUCAUCCUUAUUUCCUAGCAAAAAUUGUCGAGAAACGAACCGCGAACAAGGAAUCGAAUAGAGAUUUGCACGGAACGCAAAUCUGUCGAGAAACGAACCGCGAACAAGGAAUCGAAUAGAGAUUUGCACGGAACGCAAAUCUGAGAUUAGUGGACGGCUUUGGGAAAAUAUGUUCAAGUGAUUAUCAAGAACGCAAGCUUUUGUGAUGUCAUCCG